GUAAUAGAACAUUUAUAAUUCAUUCACAUUUCUUAAAUAUAACACUGGUAUUUUAAAGGGUUACUCAAAAUGUAGUAGCCAUAUAUUUUAUAACACAGAGUUGUCAAGUUAAAAAGUUGUUGCUCCUUCCUCAGGUUUGGCAAAUCACUGUAGACACUGAAAAGUUUGGGAAUUAAUAUUUGGAGAUAUAAUUAAAAAAACCAUCUUCCACUCCCACUGACUAUCAUUAUCAGAACUAUAUCUGAAACAGGAAUGAGAGAAGUAGGAAGCUCUUAUUUGAAAAGCAAAGCAAAAAACUGGUAAAGUGGGAAGACUGGAGAGAUAAUUAAACUGUGCGCCCUGGUUUUACAUGGAAGUGACAGUAUUCAGUUGGUACUAUGGUGGGGCAGAAUUGGUUGCUAAGGAUUUCUCUGUGUAAAGAAAUGUGUCAUUUUGAUUAACACUAAAACUGUGACCUUAAUCUGAGAUGCAAAACAUAAUAGUAAAAGGACUUUGAAGUUGCCAUCUUAUAUUCUGUUUAGACAGUAGAAAUCCAUAGCUUUGUUGAGGCAUCAAGCUCAGGGAAGUCAGACAAACCUCUUUUUAGAACCUUGGAGGAUAUGUGUCUGUAGGUGUGUUUGUGUGUGCACACUCUGAACAGGAUAGUAACAAAACUUGCCAUCUCUUAGCUGUAGCUCCCAGACAGAAAUGCUAUACAGUAUGUAACAUGACACUUUUCGUAAGUAGAUAAUGUAGUGUUUGAUGUCUUUUGAGAAGCUGGCAAGGAUGGCGCAGUGAGGACCCUUUGUAAUGUAGUAGAAAGUGCCAAAUACCUAAAAUGAAAAUCAAAAGACAGCAUUUAAGGAGAUGAUAGAAAUGGUCUGCAGAGAUAUUUUGGGCAACCUGUCUUUCAGGAAGACUGACAGUAUUGUAAACAUCACCAGUCAAGCUAAAAAGAAACCAAUGCCUUUAAAGCUGGAAUGGAGGGAGGAAGAGGUGGUGCCACAGCUGUUCAAGUCUCUGGCAAAGCAUUCGGUGCAGCUCUAGUUUCAUUUGGUUCCUAUGAAACAUGUGUUCUUCAUUUAUGUAUACAUGCACUUUAAAGUAUCUGACAAAUUGCUUAUAGGGACUUACAGAUGUUUUCAUGAUUUGUAUUUGUACUUGGUAGCAGUACAUGCAGCAGUGUGCGUAAAUUGACGUUAUAGAGUCAUAAUCUUGUAUAAUCUUAUAUCCACAAUGGCGGGAUAUCUGUAUGUGGUCAUUUCCCCUUUCACUGAAGGAGAAAGCUAAGAAGCCUUAUGCAGCUUACAGAUGAACUCCAGAAGUUCCGAGUGUGCUUCAGUGUUUUAUAAAUACUUAAUGAUGAAGAUUCCUACAUCCUCCUUUAGGGACCUGCCUGUGGUCAAACACUACAUUCAGUAGCAUGCUUGUCUGACAACUUAGUAAGAUACUAGAAAAUGUGACUCUCAUUUCUGUAGAGGAAAAGUAAAAAAAAAAAAAAAAA
rnacentral:lncRNA from 1 species